AUGUUGAAAAAUAACUUUAAAUGUUACCUGACCAAACUGAUAACUAACAUCCAGGACAGCGAAGGGAAACCACAGAGCUUCCAGGUAGCUGUUAACAUCACAGAAGCUCGACAGCUUGUUGGCGAAAACAUCGACCCCAGCGUGGUCGUCGAGAUCGGGGACGAAAAGAAACAGACGACUGUCAAAGAGGGAACUAAUGCCCCCUUUUACAAUGAGUACUUUGUGUUUGACGUCUUUGCCUACAAAGAGAUCUUCUAUGAUAAAGUCAUUAAGCUGACGGUAAUUCAUUCAAAGAUGCUGAGGACUUUCAGUGUGGGGUCUUUCAAGCUGGAUGUGUGGACCGUCUACAAACAGCCAGGUGCGUCUCGCUCUCACCUAUCAACUAAAGACUGCUGUCCUGAUUCUUUAGGUCACCAGUUCAUCAAUAAAUGGGCAAUGUUAACCGAUCCUGGAGACAUUAGCACUGGAGUCAAAGGUUAUGUUAAAUGUGACAUCAGUGUUUCAGCGAAGGGAGAGGCCAUGCAGCCCGGACAGAAAGCCAGUGAUGCUGAGGAGCAGAUAGACAAGAACCUGCUGAUUCCAGAGGGGUUUCCUUCUGAGCGCCCAUGGGCUCGUUUCUGUGUGAAGGUGUACCGAGCUGAAGGCCUUCCGCGAAACAACUCCAGCAUCAUGGCCAACGUCACCAAGGCCUUCAUCGGAGACAACACGGCGCUAAUAGACCCUUAUGUUGUGGUCAGCUUCUUUAAACAAAUGGGCCGCACGUCCACUAAGAAGUCCACAGCAGACCCAGUGUGGAAUGAGCAGAUUGUCUUCACUGAGAUGUUUCCGCCUUUGUGUCAGAGAUUAAAGAUUCAGGUCUGGGAUGAAGGAAGCAUGAAUGAUGUUGCCAUAGGAACCCAUUACUUUGAUCUGAAACGUGUUUCCAAUGAACAAGAUGGUGACAAAGGGUUUUUACCAACAUUUGGCCCUGCUUGGGUCAACCUGUAUGGCUCUGCAAGAAACUACACUUUGGGUGACGACACAGGAGAACUUAACGAAGGCAUUGGCGAGGGCGUUUCCUACAGGGGUCGAGUCUACUUGGAGCUGACAGUGGAGAUCCUGUCAGGGGGGACAGGCUCAGAAUCAAAGCUCAGCCAAAUGAUGAAACCUGCAAAAGACGCUAAAGCAGGCAAGGUGGCUGGGAAGGAUGGGAAGACUCCUGCUGGUGGAGGAGGAACGGUGAAUGGUGCUGUUUGUGUGCAGCUGACUGAAGAUGACUGUGAAAGCUUCCUGCUGUUUGGUGCUGUGUUUGAGGCCACGAUGAUUGACCGUAAGCUAGGAGACAAGCCCAUCAGCUUCGAGUUCUCCCUGGACACCACCGAUGUGUUUGGCACCUCCCCCUCAGGCUCCUUCUCCAUCAGCACACCCCUCCUCUCACCCAGAGAGCCUUCAGACCCAAGUGUGAUAGCUAAAUCUGUCACUCCUCCAGAGAGACCUCACAUUGGUUUUGCUCUUUUACAUUACAUGCAUCUACCCCUGGAGAAGAAGAAGCCAUGUUUUAACGUGUUGAGUUACUGGGAGGACAGAACCUACCGUCUGUACAACUCUAACAUGCUGGAGAAUAUAGCUGUACUCUUUGAGGAGGGGGUGUCUGGUGCAGCUGAGCUUCAUAGGAAGAUGGAGCCGGCAGCCGGGCCAACACUCAGAACUGUUCUCAGAGAUUUUUGCUUGGAUUUCAUGCUGAUGACAGUUAUGAAAAUAAAUCCUAGUAAAUGUGUUGUAAACAUCCAGGUUGCAUUUGUGUUGCAGGAGGGUAUGAUAGGAGAGGCCAAGUCAUUGACAGAGAGACGAAGAAAAGCUGGUGGAGUAAAAGAAAUGCUGCAGGAAGCUACAAAGAUAAUGCAGAAACUCAGGUUCCUUGUGGAAGAGCCCCAGCACAUGGUACCAGACAUGUUUGUGUGGUUGCUAAGCAACAACAAACGAGUAGCUUACGCCAGGGUUCGAACCCGCGACCUGCUGUACUCUGGCAACCAGGAAUCCCGAGGGGUUCUCUGUGGGAAAGUAGUAACCUUGUUCUUAAAGCCUCCAGGAAAGCGUGCUGCAGCAUUGACGGUUCAGGCCAAGCUAGACGUGUAUCUGUGGUUUGGAUCUUGUUCAGACUCCUCCCACAUGCUGGAUGACCUACCUGCAGGAUACACACCAAACGAGGGGGGUGCUGAUGCCAGCAGCCCCCCUUCACACCUGGUCUGCACAGAGCACCACCACUUUCAGCUGCGCUGCCACGUGUAUCAGGCUCGCGGUCUGAUAGCUGCAGACAACACGGGCCUGUCAGACCCAUUCGCCCGAGUCACGUUCCUCUCACACAGCCUAACCACGAAUAUAAUCAGUCAGACCCUGAGUCCAACAUGGAACCAGUGCUUGUUAAUGAGCCGCAUCCUGUUGAGUGGAGACCUGCAGUUCAUCCAGAAGGAGCCCCCGCGUGUCGUCAUCGAGGUGUACGAUGAUGACGCUCUGGGUAAAGCUGAGUACCUGGGAGCCACUGUGGCAGUCCCUGGUGUGCAUCUGACCUCUGAACCCUACAUCCCCCCCACCCUGCAGUAUAGUCCACUUCACUAUGGAAGCCAGUCAGGAGGAGACCUACUUGCUGCAUUUGAACUUCUCCAGUCUGGCCAUUCGAGUCUACCGGCUUUAGAGGAAGAGGAAGGAGGCAUCUACACAGUUCCUGCCAACAUCAGGCCUGUUCUCAGCACCUACAGACUGGAGGUGUUGUUCUGGGGUUUGAGGGAGCUGAGGAAGGUUCAGCUUCUGUCUGUUGACCGACCACAGGUGUUUAUAGAGUGUGCAGGUAAAACUUUGCGGUCCUCCGUCAUUCAAAAGUACAAGUCCAACCCAAACUUCACUACGCUGGUAGACUCCAUGGAGCUGGAGCUUCCGGAGAACGAACACCUCCAUCCUCCUCUCAGUAUCACGGUAGUCGACUGGCGGGCCUUCGGCCGCAGCACGCUGGUUGGAAACCACAUCAUCAACAAUCUCAAAGCUUUCAAGUCCACUCCACCUCCAGCCCCACCUCCAACCGACCGAACACAGAGACCAACUCAGGUCACGGAGGCCGGACCAGCUCCAACCACAGAGCCUCCGGUCUCUGAAGGUAAAGCAUUGACCAAUCAGGACUUCCUCGUCACUGUGGAGGAGGAAGCUCCAGCUCCUGCUCCAUCUUCACCUCCAGCUCAGCCAGAACCCAGGAAGAAAAGGAUCAGCGCCAAAAGCACCCGUCGUUCCACCAAGAGGAGGCGGCGGACCAUUGCUGAUGAGUCAGCAGAGUCCGUCAUCGACUGGUGGUCCAAAUACUACGCGUCUGUGGAGAAGCAGGUAACUUUCAAAGCUGUCUUAAAGGACUGGACAGGUCUGUACAACAAGGAGCUGGAGGCAGAGUUUGGACCGUUUGAUGAUUGGGUGACCACAUACGAGCUGUUCAGAGGAAAAGCCAAUGAGGAGGAGGGAACAUCUGAGGAGAGGUUUGUUGGGAAGUUUAAGGGACGAUUCUGCCUCUACAAGCUGACUGAUGGUGGAGAAGGAGGCUCGGAGGCAGUCAGAGACAUGGGCCACUACAGAAUUGACAGAGGGAUUCCUCCAAACAACCAGGUCCAGGUUCUCAUACGAGUCUACAUCAUCUCAGCAUCCAACCUGCAUCCAGCUGACCCCGACGGGAAAGCUGAUCCAUACAUUGUUCUUCGCAUUGGCAAAAAUGAAAUCAAAGACAGAGACAACUACAUUCCCAAGGAGCUGAAUCCUGUUUUUGGAAGAUCAUUUGAGUUGCAGGCUACAUUUCCUCAGGAGUCUCUUCUGUCAGUGGUUGUUUACGACUUUGACUUGGUGGGAGGAGACGACCUGAUUGGAGAGACUCGCAUAGACCUGGAGAACAGAUUCUACAGCCGACACAGAGCCACCUGUGGACUUCCUACUGAGUACAGCCUUGGGGGUUACAACGCCUGGAGAGACUGUCUGAAGCCAUCAGAGUUGCUGUCAAGGAUGUGCAGAGAAAACGGAGUGGACGGCCCUCACUUCAGUCCCGGUCGCAUCGUUGUGGCAGGCAAAGUUUUUACCGGAAAGACGCUCUACAUGGAAGAAGAUAAAGAUGAGCCGGUGGAGUCCUACGAGCACUUGUCCCUGAAGAUACUGCACCGCUGGGCUGAGAUCCCUGGUGUGGGAUGCAAGCUGGUUCCAGAACACAUUGAGACCAGAACUCUCUUCAACAAGACCCGGCCUGGAAUGGAUCAGGGCCAGGUUCAGAUGUGGGUGGACAUGUUCCCUUUGGACCUACCACAUCCAGGCCCUCCUGUAGACAUCUCACCUCGAAAACCCAAAGGGUAUGAGCUACGUAUAAUCAUCUGGAACACAGAGGAUGUCAUUCUGGAAGACACCAACUUUCUGACGGGCCAACAGUCCAGUGAUAUUUAUGUCAAAGGCUGGCUGAAGGGUUUAGAAGAUGACCGACAGGAGACAGAUGUUCACUACAACUCUCUGACCGGGGAAGGAAACUUCAACUGGCGCUUUGUGUUUCCCUUCAGCUAUAUGCCUGCUGAGAAGGUGGUGGUGGUGAAGAAAAGAGAACAUAUCUUCUCACUGGACAAAACCGAGCAGAAGCUCCCUGCCAUCCUAAUCCUGCAGGUCUGGGACUUUGAGACGCUCUCCUCCGACGACUUCCUUGGUGCAUUAGAGCUGGACCUUCAUGGAUUUCCUCGUGGAGCAAAAACAGCCAAGUCAUGCAAAGCAGAGAUGUUGACAGACCUGAUGGAGAAAAUCUCCAUCUUCCAGCAGAAGAGGGCUCGUGGCUGGUGGCCAUUCUGCAAGUCUGGAGAGCUCACAGGGAAGGUGGAGGCAGAGUUCCAUCUGGUGACAGGUGACGAGGCUGAGAAGAACCCAGUAGGAAAGGCGAGGAAAGAGCCAGAGCCACUGCCCAAACCAAACCGCCCCGACACCUCCUUCUCCUGGUUUGUGAAUCCGUUUAAGUGUUUCUUCCACCUGGUGUGGCGAAGCUACAAGAAGUACAUCAUCAUCGCUCUAAUCCUGCUCAUCACCGUGCUCUUCCUCGCCCUGUUGUUCUACACUCUGCCAGGAGCCAUCUCUCAGAAGAUCAUCAAUGGAUGAAGCAGACAGCAGGCUUCAGAGGAGAUAGCCUUCAUUAAAAUAUAUUUUCCAGGUUUAAAUGUAGUGUUGAAUAAGACAUGCUAGCCUGUUAUCUAUAAACAGUUCUUGUUUGUAACCUGGUCAAAGACUCAAACUAGUCUGAAAAGUGAAGAUGCACAAAGAAUAUUACUUUGUUUCUGUGGACAGAAGGUUAAAGGUUAACGUUGUUUUCCAAGUUCAGAAGCUGGAAUUUUUAAACCUCCAAUCUGAGAUCAUGAAGUUUAUUUCCUCCUCGAGAUGCUGACGUAAAACUAGACCAAGACUCUUGAACAGCACUGAUUAUAAAAGAACGCAAAUAAAAUGGAAACUUUUUUUU
rnacentral:lncRNA from 1 species